UCGUGUCGUGAGAUGUUGGGUUAAGUCCCGCAACGAGCGCAACCCUCACCUCUUGUUGCCAUCAGGUCAUGCUGGGCACUCUAGAGGAACUGCCCCGGUCAAUGGGGAGGAGGGCGGGGAUGACGUCAAGUCAUCAUGCCCCUUACGUCCUGGGCUACACACGUGCUACAAUGGCCGGUACAAAGGGAUGCCACACCGCGAGGUAGAGCUAAACCCAAAAAGCCGGUCUAAGUUCAGAUUGGAGUCUGCAACUCGACUCCAUGAAGGAGGAAUCGCUAGUAAUCGC
rnacentral:rRNA from 1 species